rnacentral:tRNA from 1 species
GUAUUUGAAGCUAAUAAUAAUAAGCAUCGGUCUUGUAAACCGAAACCAGAAAUUUUUCCUAAUACU